rnacentral:rRNA from 1 species
AUCCGCAUGGAUAUGUUUGUUAAAGGUUUACCCGCCUUUGGGAUAGGCUUGCGUCUGAUUAGUUAGUUGGUGUGGUAACGGCACACCAAGGCUACGAUCAGUAACUGGUCUGAGAGGAUGAUCAGUCACACUGGAACUGAGACACGGUCCAGACUCCUACGGGAGGCAGCAGUGAGGAAUAUUGGGCAAUGCUCGAAAGAGUGACCCAGCAACGCCGCGUGGAGGAUGAAGGUAUUCUAUAUCGUAAACUCCUGUGAGAGCAGACGAAAGACAGAUUAUUAAUCUGGAUGACUGUAUGCUCAGAGGAAGCCCCGGCUAACUACGUG